UGUAUGUAUAUGCCAGUACUUUGUUUAGUACAUAAAAACAUUACAAUGAAGACCGCAAUUUUCUUUAUGUUGGUUGUGUUUGCCGUAUUUUUGGAUUCAGCAAAUAGCAAGAAAAUGAGUAAGAAGAGCAAGAACGAUGGAGCUGGUGAUGAAGAGUGGCCUCACCCUGGUUCCGUAAGCGGGUUCGAACCCCCGGCCAUGUUCCAAGAAGCUCCAAAGUUACAGCCACUGGACAAUAAGAAAACCUCCACUGGAUCGUUUCAUAAUCGGACGCAGAGCACUCAUAGUCGAAGAAGUCGCAAACACUAAAUAUUUUCUUAGAAACGAAACUUGUACAAAAACAUUACUGUUUAAUUUCUGUAAAAUAUUUCAUUGUGCACAUUUUUUAUUAAUUUUUCUUCUCUCCGAUGAUGUAAAAAGCAAAUAUCGAAAUUGGCAAUAAACAGUUUCCAGUGUCA